rnacentral:lncRNA from 1 species
CGAUGGAUAGAUGACCCUUGUAUGUGAUAGAUCAACAAGGUAUUGCGUAUUAAUGCAAAAGGGAAAAAUGUCUUUUGUUCUUGCCACUUUUGUUCUCAGACUCCUUUUUUCUGUGUGGCAGUCAAAGGGUUAAACUGCUAUUCUCCAUUAUGAGCAAACAAACACUCUGAUGGGGGUCCAUCAAUUUCUAGCCCUCCUGAUAUUGCUUUUCAGCUCUCCGAGAGGGAAGUUGUUGACCCCAAAAAUAUACAGCAUAGAAUAAUGCCUGCGAUUCUAAUAGAAGACACUAAAUGCCUUUGAAUGCUGGUGGGUUUUUUUUUUGUUCAUUUGGAUAAGUUAUAAACCUCCUGGUGAUUAUUUUUACUCCAGAUAAAGGAAGAAUCAUGCAAUUACACCUUAUGCUAGCAUCACCACAAAAGGAUAUUUUGUCUCAGUGGAGUACUCAAAUCAGAAACCUCUCAUGACAACGCUGUCUUCUGACUCGAGCGUAAACUACUGCAAGAGGGUUAAGCAUGGAGAUGGGAGAAAGACGGGCCUGUUUUAUUGGAACCAUAAACCUGCUGACGUCGCUUCUGUCUCCCCAGAAAGCCCUCCUCACAGGAGCCAUCCUCAGAACAUGCGUGUCUUGUGUAUGGCAAAGGAGUGGUGACCAACACGAAGGUCAUGAGGACGUCCUGCUGCCCGCUGUGGCUGUGCCCAUGGCAUUCGGCAGCCUGAUUACAAGCAGCAUGGGGAUCAGGUUUUCUACGCAAGAUAUAGAGACAGACCCAUGGCAUUCACCUUGAGUAGGCAGAAGGAGGAGGUUUACGUGCACAUUUCUGUCUGAUGGCAAAAACGGCGCAAUUCCUAGCCUGGGCAGGGAGGCAGAGCAGUGCAGCCCUCUUGCUUUUGGAGUUGAAAAGCAGAUGGAAGGUGAAGAGGAGGAGAGAGUAAAUACAGAGCAGGAACACAUUAGAUUUAGGUAACACCGAAUUUUGUGUUCCCUUUCAGAUUAUUGGUUGCAGUUGCAGGUCAAGAG